UACGAAGGGGGCUAGCGUUGCUCGGAAUCACUGGGCGUAAAGCGCACGUAGGCGGAUUCUUAAGUCAGGGGUGAAGUCCUGGAGCUCAACUCCAGAACUGCCUUUGAUACUGGGAAUCUCGAGUCCGGGAGAGGUGAGUGGAACUGCGAGUGUAGAGGUGAAAUUCGUAGAUAUUCGCAAGAACACCGGUGGCGAAGGCGGCCUUCUGGACAGUGACUGACGCUGAGACGCGAAAGCGUGGGGAGCAAACAGG
rnacentral:rRNA from 1 species